rnacentral:rRNA from 1 species
UACGUAGGGUGCGAGCGUUGUCCGGAAUUAUUGGGCGUAAAGAGCUCGUAGGCGGUUUGUCGCGUCGGCCGUGAAAACUUGGGGCUUAACUUCAAGCUUGCGGUCGAUACGGGCAGACUUGAGUUCGGCAGGGGAGACUGGAAUUCCUGGUGUAGCGGUGAAAUGCGCAGAUAUCAGGAGGAACACCGGUGGCGAAGGCGGGUCUCUGGGCAGUAACUGACGCUGAGGAGCGAAAGCGUGGGGAGCGAACAGG